UCUAUCACCACUCAUCGGAUACACGGAUCUCCAACACAUCACAAAUAGACUCAUGGAACCAAAUAUAUCCCAUAAGCAAAGCAUAUAUAGCUAACGCUCUCUAGCACACCACACAUACAUAUCUUAAUAAAUGGAGCUUGGCUCACAUUCUCUUAUCUCUCCAAAACUAUCUCUGAGCCUCAGUGCCCCACAUAUCACAACACAUAUAAGUGAGUACUCACAAUCCUAUGGCAUGUCAAAUAUAUCCAACGGUCUCAGUAAGUUAUAAGGCCAAAAUAUUCAUAAUGUCAUCAAAUAUUACUUACCGAUUAUUUGCACAUUCACCGCAUAAUCAA
rnacentral:lncRNA from 1 species